rnacentral:lncRNA from 1 species
UAAGAUACACCCCGUAUAUUUGGAAUAUUUAUGAUGUAUGAUUUUGUAUCUAGUUAAAUAGAUCUUGUAAUUUUAAUUUUGAGUUGUGUGCGUAUUGUAAAACGUACGAAAGAAUAGAGCAGUAUUAAAGUGUUAUUAAUAAGAAUUAUCAAAAUAAUAUAUGUACAGAGUUUAAACUAUCUGAAUGCGUGUUAAUUGUCGAAUGGUUUCUUUAACAUCUACACUGCCUAUUUUUUCUACACGAGGAUCAUGGUUGUAUGAUAAUUCUACCAUACGUCAUCAUCAGUUCUACCAUCCACGCAUUGUGAUUGAUACGCAUUAAAGAACAUUUCACGCCAUACGAUUAACAUUUUUUUUCUCAAAUAAAAUGCGAAAUGUCUUUCCUAAGUGAAUGCAUUUUUUCUAAGUAGUAAUCUUUUCGCCUGGAUAUACUCAUAAUUUUAAAUACAGCAAGAAAGUCCAUACAUUAUGCAAGCAAUAUCAGUAAUUUCGGUUUCAUGCCUUUUAAAAACGAAAUUAUCAUACGAGAGAGUGACUUAUCUUGCGCGAUGAACGAUUGAAACAAUUACAUUUUACAUAACAUAUCGAUGAAAUAAGAUUUUUCUGUCAGUAGACUUUAUAGCGUAUAUAAUGAAAGUUUAUUAAAUCGUAAAUGUGUGAGAGAGGAACAAGUUGAAAUUACGUGACACUCGUGGCAGUCGAUUCGUUUUCCAUCAGUGUUUAUCAAUUAAAAGAAAGAGGGAAAACGGAAAUAAAAAAGAAAAAAUUUCUUUCGAUACAGAUCAUCCUCCGGGAAGAGAGUGCGAUAUUCGAGGAUAGUUCUUGUUUUCGUGCAUGUUUUCGAGGUGAUUAUCAAAAAGAACCUAACGAAAAGUGAGAAAAAAAAAAGAGAGCAACUAUGUGUUUGCGCCAGAUUCUAUUUCAGUUUCUUGAAGACAUACGUCGUCGGAAUUUUGAUAAUAAAAUCUAAAUGUUGUACACGAUUUCUGUUCGAAACAAAUUGAUCUGAAUGCGCAAAAUUGUCGAGUAAUAACGCAAAGAUUCACUGUAACGAGAGCUCUCUGCUGUGAACAUAUUUAAUCGCUAUUCUCCCCCGUAUAAUGUGACAAGAAGAGCGUUACGUUGCGAGGCAUUUGCAGAGAUUCAUUAGAGCGAGACGUGCGAUUUUCUGUUAAUGGCUCGCGACAUCGAAACAUUUAAGCGACCAAGAAAUAAAUGAGACGAAAUUAUAGACGGAAGAGCAUGAGAGAGCAAAAGGAUCCCGUCAGCCAUAUCGAUUAAACAAGCAAGAACGUGGUAAAUGACGAGUACGAAGGAAAUUGUGUUACGUCCAAAGGUCCACACUUAUGCUAGUCCGGCCGAUGACUUCGUACACACCACUUCCGAGAGAUGUACGCGCGUUGUAUUGUGUAACGCCACUUUGUAUCCAUGUUACAUACUCGCCGAGCAAGCGCGUCCGACGAUAGACACCCAUGUACUUACGGAGCUGUUACGUACUCGAGCCGUAUUUGUAAUACACGGUCCCGUGUACGAGACUAAAGCGAAAUGAAAGACGGAAGAGAGAGAACCGCUUCUGUCGGGGACAGUCUUUGGAAAGUGAUACGCUUAAAAAAAAAAAAAGA